rnacentral:rRNA from 1 species
UACGGAGGGGGCUAGCGUUGUUCGGAAUUACUGGGCGUAAAGCGCACGUAGGCGGCGAUCUAAGUCAGAGGUGAAAGCCCGGGGCUCAACCCCGGAACUGCCUUUGAGACUGGAUUGCUAGAAUCUUGGAGAGGCGAGUGGAAUUCCGAGUGUAGAGGUGAAAUUCGUAGAUAUUCGGAAGAACACCAGUGGCGAAAGCGGCUCGCUGGACAAGUAUUGACGCUGAGGUGCGAAAGCGUGGGGAGCAAACAGG